rnacentral:rRNA from 1 species
UACGAAGGGGCUAGCGUUGCUCGGAAUCACUGGGCGUAAAGGGCGCGUAGGCGGCGUUUUAAGUCGGGGUGAAAGCCUGUGGCUCAACCACAGAAUGGCCUUCGAUACUGGGACGCUUGAGUAUGGUAGAGGUUGGUGGAACUGCGAGUGUAGAGGUGAAAUUCGUAGAUAUUCGCAAGAACACCGGUGGCGAAGGCGGCCAACUGGACCAUCACUGACGCUGAGGCGCGAAAGCGUGGGGAGCAAACAGG